UCCCUGGUGGCUCAGAUGGUAAAGCGUCUGCCUACAAUGCAGGAGACCCGGGUUCAGUCCCUGGGUUGGGAA
rnacentral:tRNA from 1 species